rnacentral:rRNA from 1 species
UACAGAGGUCUCAAGCGUUGUUCGGAUUCAUUGGGCGUAAAGGGCGCGUAGGCGGCGCGGUAAGUCGGGUGUGAAAUCUCGGGGCUUAACUCCGAAACUGCAUUCGAUACUACCGUGCUUGAGGACUGGAGAGGAGACUGGAAUUUACGGUGUAGCGGUGAAAUGCGUAGAUAUCGUAAGGAAGACCAGUGGCGAAGGCGGGUCUCUGGACAGUUCCUGACGCUGAGGCACGAAGGCGAGGGGAGCAAACGGG